rnacentral:rRNA from 1 species
UAGUCUGGUGCCAGCAGCCGCGGUAAUACCAGCUCCAAUAGCAUAUAUUAGUGUUGUUGCGGUUAAAACGUCCGUAGUCGAAUUAAAGGCUCGUAACGCGUCUGACGCUAGGAGUUACUGGGGUGACCAUCCCCAAGGGGUAGCUUGUGUAGCCCUGCGGAGAUAUCGCCCCAUGUUACCUUGACGAAAUUGUGGUGUUCAUAGCAAGUACGGAGUACUCUAGGCACAAUAGCAUGGAAUAACAACGCAAGGACUCCGACCCGGAUUGCGCUAGCGCUCGGGAUCGGAGGAAGGAUUAAUAGGAGCAGUCGGGGGCGGUCGUAUUCCAUUGCUAGAGGUGAAAUUCGGUGACCAAUGGAGGACGAACAACAGCGAAAGCAUCCGUCCAGUAUGUUUUCAUUGAUCAGUGGACGAAAGCUAGGGGAGCGAACACGAUUAGGCACCGUGUGUAGUCCUAGCCGUAAACGAUACCGACUAGGGGUUGGUGGACGUUCUUCUCGAUAGCUCCAUCAGCACCUUAUGAGAAAUCACAAGCUUUCGGGUUCCGGGGGGAGUACGGUCGCAAGGCUGAAACUUAAAGGAAUUGGCGGAAGGGCACCACAAGGCGUGGAGCUUGCGGCUUAAUUUGACUCAACGCAGGAAAACUUACCAGGUCCGUACAUAGGGAGGAUUGACAGAUUGAUAGCUCUUUCUUGAUUCUAUGGGAGGUGGUGCAUGGCCGUUCUU